AGCGUACACGGUGGAUGCCCUGGCAGUCAGAGGCGAUGAAGGACGUGCUAAUCUGCGAUAAGCGUCGGUGAGGUGAUAUGAACCGUUAUAACCGGCGAUUUCCGAAUGGGGAAACCCAGUGUGUUUCGACACACUAUCAUUAACUGAAUCCAUAGGUUAAUGAGGCGAACCGGGGGAACUGAAACAUCUAAGUACCCCGAGGAAAAGAAAUCAACCGAGAUUCCCCCAGUAGCGGCGAGCGAACGGGGAGGAGCCCAGAGCCUGAAUCAGUGUGUGUGUUAGUGGAAGCGUCUGGAAAGGCGCGCGAUACAGGGUGACAGCCCCGUACACAAAAAUGCACAUAUUGUGAGCUCGAUGAGUAGGGCGGGACACGUGGUAUCCUGUCUGAAUAUGGGGGGACCAUCCUCCAAGGCUAAAUACUCCUGACUGACCGAUAGUGAACCAGUACCGUGAGGGAAAGGCGAAAAGAACCCCGGCGAGGGGAGUGAAAAAGAACCUGAAACCGUGUACGUACAAGCAGUGGGAGCCUCUUAAUGGGGUGACUGCGUACCUUUUGUAUAAUGGGUCAGCGACUUAUAUUCUGUAGCAAGGUUAACCGAAUAGGGGAGCCGAAGGGAAACCGAGUCUUAACUGGGCGUUAAGUUGCAGGGUAUAGACCCGAAACCCGGUGAUCUAGCCAUGGGCAGGUUGAAGGUUGGGUAACACUAACUGGAGGACCGAACCGACUAAUGUUGAAAAAUUAGCGGAUGACUUGUGGCUGGGGGUGAAAGGCCAAUCAAACCGGGAGAUAGCUGGUUCUCCCCGAAAGCUAUUUAGGUAGCGCCUCGUGAAUUCAUCUCCGGGGGUAGAGCACUGUUUCGGCAAGGGGGUCAUCCCGACUUACCAACCCGAUGCAAACUGCGAAUACCGGAGAAUGUUAUCACGGGAGACACACGGCGGGUGCUAACGUCCGUCGUGAAGAGGGAAACAACCCAGACCGCCAGCUAAGGUCCCAAAGUCAUGGUUAAGUGGGAAACGAUGUGGGAAGGCCCAGACAGCCAGGAUGUUGGCUUAGAAGCAGCCAUCAUUUAAAGAAAGCGUAAUAGCUCACUGGUCGAGUCGGCCUGCGCGGAAGAUGUAACGGGGCUAAACCAUGCACCGAAGCUGCGGCAGCGACACUAUGUGUUGUUGGGUAGGGGAGCGUUCUGUAAGCCUGUGAAGGUGUACUGUGAGGUAUGCUGGAGGUAUCAGAAGUGCGAAUGCUGACAUAAGUAACGAUAAAGCGGGUGAAAAGCCCGCUCGCCGGAAGACCAAGGGUUCCUGUCCAACGUUAAUCGGGGCAGGGUGAGUCGACCCCUAAGGCGAGGCCGAAAGGCGUAGUCGAUGGGAAACAGGUUAAUAUUCCUGUACUUGGUGUUACUGCGAAGGGGGGACGGAGAAGGCUAUGUUGGCCGGGCGACGGUUGUCCCGGUUUAAGCGUGUAGGCUGGUUUUCCAGGCAAAUCCGGAAAAUCAAGGCUGAGGCGUGAUGACGAGGCACUACGGUGCUGAAGCGACAAAUGCCCUGCUUCCAGGAAAAGCCUCUAAGCAUCAGGUAACAUCAAAUCGUACCCCAAACCGACACAGGUGGUCAGGUAGAGAAUACCAAGGCGCUUGAGAGAACUCGGGUGAAGGAACUAGGCAAAAUGGUGCCGUAACUUCGGGAGAAGGCACGCUGAUAUGUAGGUGAAGCGACUUGCUCGUGGAGCUGAAAUCAGUCGAAGAUACCAGCUGGCUGCAACUGUUUAUUAAAAACACAGCACUGUGCAAACACGAAAGUGGACGUAUACGGUGUGACGCCUGCCCGGUGCCGGAAGGUUAAUUGAUGGGGUUAGCGGUAACGCGAAGCUCUUGAUCGAAGCCCCGGUAAACGGCGGCCGUAACUAUAACGGUCCUAAGGUAGCGAAAUUCCUUGUCGGGUAAGUUCCGACCUGCACGAAUGGCGUAAUGAUGGCCAGGCUGUCUCCACCCGAGACUCAGUGAAAUUGAACUCGCUGUGAAGAUGCAGUGUACCCGCGGCAAGACGGAAAGACCCCGUGAACCUUUACUAUAGCUUGACACUGAACAUUGAGCCUUGAUGUGUAGGAUAGGUGGGAGGCUUUGAAGUGUGGACGCCAGUCUGCAUGGAGCCGACCUUGAAAUACCACCCUUUAAUGUUUGAUGUUCUAACGUGGGCCCCUUACCGGGGUUGCGGACAGUGUCUGGUGGGUAGUUUGACUGGGGCGGUCUCCUCCUAAAGAGUAACGGAGGAGCACGAAGGUUGGCUAAUCCUGGUCGGACAUCAGGAGGUUAGUGCAAUGGCAUAAGCCAGCUUGACUGCGAGCGUGACGGCGCGAGCAGGUGCGAAAGCAGGUCAUAGUGAUCCGGUGGUUCUGAAUGGAAGGGCCAUCGCUCAACGGAUAAAAGGUACUCCGGGGAUAACAGGCUGAUACCGCCCAAGAGUUCAUAUCGACGGCGGUGUUUGGCACCUCGAUGUCGGCUCAUCACAUCCUGGGGCUGAAGUAGGUCCCAAGGGUAUGGCUGUUCGCCAUUUAAAGUGGUACGCGAGCUGGGUUUAGAACGUCGUGAGACAGUUCGGUCCCUAUCUGCCGUGGGCGCUGGAGAACUG
rnacentral:rRNA from 1 species